rnacentral:lncRNA from 1 species
AUGUUUGACCAUCAUGUCCAGAGGCAUAACCUUGCUGCCGAUCAUCCUGGCGCUGAUGCUGCUCUGAAAGUGAAUGAUGAGCCUGAGGCAAAGCACAGUGUGGUGACUUCAGGGCGCAGCAGACGCUCAUGGAUGGGAGAAGUGGAGGAAACCACUGGUGUAAAGAAGGAGUAUCAGAAGCAGCCUGAUCUAUCAAAACAUACAGCAGAUGGAGAGAAAAGUGGGAAACCAGCUUGUUCAAGUGAAGACAAGAAAAUGCCUUCAGGAGUUCUCUUGGAAAAGUCUUUGGUUGAGAAAGGUGAAAAGCCCACUCCUAAAACUGCCGAGGGCUCUGUGAUCUACCAGAGAAUAGAGCCAAGAUACGAGAUCUUCCAGACCUGUGGUGAGAGAGCUCUGAGUGAAGCCAUUACAAUGGCUCCAGAGAAAAAGGCCAUGACUCUCAGAGCCAGAAGAUCAUCUGUGAAGGAGAAUAAAGCCGAUGAAGAUGUUUCACACCCCGGGCAGUUGGUUAGGACGAGUAGUAAAACUCUCUACUUGAAAGAAGAUAGUGUUAUUUCAGAAGCUAGAGACACAAAGGUGUUUACAAGCAAGGCUGCUUUGAGAGAACCCACUGAGUGCACUUUACCUGAACAGAAAAAAGAUUCUGAUAAGCCUGGUCCAAUAUUAAUAGCUGAGAAAAUGCCCUAUUCUACAAACAAAAGUAAGUGUUUGGGGAUGAAUGAAGAAGCACACAAGCUGCAUUCUGAAAUACAAAAUGAUAAGGGUGAAGCCUCUUCCUUGGAUAAAACAGAGAGGUCUGAUGUGAUGAAAUCCAGCUCUGAGAAAAGGAGUUUUAGAGCAGGAGGGACAGACAGCUAUGAAUUCAGAGCCAACUUGGAUUGGGAAGUUACUUCAGCAAGUGUCAGUAAACACAGGGCCCAGUCCUCUGUGCUCUCAGGUGGACAGUUUAGUACAUCAUCUGGUAACCCCCAGCCUGACCCAGCAGCACUGCCCGUUAACAGAGAGGAGCCCCGGGCCUUUGGUUUAAGGAAAAGUCUGGACUUCACUCACAAAGAGCGAGAC